AUUGAACGCUGGCGGCAUGCCUUACACAUGCAAGUCGAACGGUAACGGGCCUUCGGGUGCCGACGCGUGGGGGACGGGCGAGUAAUACAUCGGAACGUGCCCGACCGUGGGGGUUAACGAGGCGAAAGCUUUGCUAAUAUCGUACCCGAUCUACGGAUGAAAGCAGGGGACGGCGAGGCCUUGCGCGGACGGAGCGGCAGAUGGGCGCUUAGGUAGUUGGUGGGAUUAAAGCUUACCAAGCCGACGACCUGUAGCUGGUUUGAGAGGAGGACCAGCGACACGGGGACUGAGACACGGCCCAGACGCCUGCGGGAGGCAGCAGAGGGGAAUUUUGGACAAUGGGCGCAAGCCUUGUCCAGCCAGGCCGCGUGCAGGGUGAAGACCUUCGGGUUGUGAACUGCUUUUUUACGGAACAAAAAGCCUUCUUUUAAUACGGGAGGGUCAUGACGGUACCGGAAGAAUAAGCACCGGCUAACUACGUG
rnacentral:rRNA from 1 species